GCCAGGCACAGUGGUGCAUGCCAGUAAUCCCAGCUACACGGAAGGCUGAGGCUGGAGGAUUGCUUGAGCCCAGGAAUUCUGGGCUGUAGUGCGCUAUGCCGAUCGGGUCUCCACACUAAGUUCGGCAUCAAUAUGGUGACCUCUCGGGAGUAGGGGACCAUCAGGUUGCCUAAGGAGGCGUGAACCGGCCCAGGUUGGAAAUGGAGCAGGUCAAAACUCCCAUGCUGAUCAGUAGUGGGAUCACGCCUGUGAAUAGCCACUGCACUCCAGCCUAAGCAACAUAGCAAGACCCCAUCUCU
rnacentral:SRP_RNA from 1 species